AUCCAUUUGACGAGUCCCAAAUAGGACGAAAAGCGUGUCUUGGGU
rnacentral:hammerhead_ribozyme from 1 species